AUUGAACGCUGGCGGCAUGCCUUACACAUGCAAGUCGAACGGUAACAGGUCUUCGGAUGCUGACGAGUGGCGAACGGGUGAGUAAUACAUCGGAACGUGCCUAGUAGUGGGGGAUAACUACUCGAAAGAGUGGCUAAUACCGCAUGAGAUCUACGGAUGAAAGCAGGGGAUCGCAAGACCUUGUGCUACUAGAGCGGCGGAUGGCAGAUUAGGUAGUUGGUGGGGUAAAAGCUUACCAAGCCGACGAUCUGUAGCUGGUCUGAGAGGACGAUCAGCCACACUGGGACUGAGACACGGCCCAGACUCCUACGGGAGGCAGCAGUGGGUAAUUUUGGACAAUGGGCGCAAGCCUGAUCCAGCAAUGCCGCGUGCAGGAUGAAGGCCUUCGGGUUGUAAACUGCUUUUGUACGGAACGAAAAGACUCUGGUUAAUACCUGGGGUCCAUGACGGUACCGUAAGAAUAAGCACCGGCUAAUUACGUGCCAGCCGCCGCAGUAAGAC
rnacentral:rRNA from 1 species